UGUGUGUGUGUGUGUGUGUGUGUGUGCGCACGUGCGCGCGCAGGCACAGACACACUUGC
rnacentral:miRNA from 1 species